UACGGAGGGUGCAAGCGUUAUCCGGAUUUACUGGGUUUAAAGGGUGCGCAGGCGGAUAUGUAAGUCAGUGGUGAAAUCUCUAGGCUUAACCUGGAAAUUGCCGUUGAUACUAUAUAUCUUGAAUGUUGUGGAGGUAAGCAGAAUAUGUCAUGUAGCGGUGAAAUGCUUAGAGAUGACAUAGAAUACCUAUUGCGAAGGCAGCUUACUACGCAGAUAUUG
rnacentral:rRNA from 1 species